rnacentral:rRNA from 1 species
AGCUACGGCCAUGCUACCCUGAACAAGCCCGGUCCUGUCUAAGCAGGGUCGGGCCUGGUUAGUACUUGGAUGGGAGACCACCUAGGAAGACCAGGUGCUGUAGGUG